UACGAAGGGGGCUAGCGUUGUUCGGAAUUACUGGGCGUAAAGGGCGCGUAGGCGGUACUUCAAGUCAGGCGUGAAAGCCCCGGGCUCAACCUGGGAACCGCGCUUGAGACUGGAGAACUAGAGUUCGGGAGAGGAUGGUGGAAUUCCCAGUGUAGAGGUGAAAUUCGUAGAUAUUGGGAAGAACACCGAUGGGCGAAGGCAGCCAUCUGGACCGACACUGACGCUGAGGCGCGAAAGCGU
rnacentral:rRNA from 1 species